CUUUGCCCGGGUACGUGGGGGCCCACGGGCGCUGCCACCCCCCCCCCGCACCGCCACUGUCACCACCCCUGGGCGCUGCCACCACCCCUGGGCGCUGCCACCCCCGGCUGGGACGCCGCCGGCAUGGCCAUCUCCCCUGGGCGCUGCCACCAUCCCCGGCACUGUCACCACCCCUGGGUGUUGCCACCGCUCCGGCUGGGACACCCCUGGCACUGCCACCACCCCUGGCACGGCCACCACCCCCGGCUGGGACACCGCCGGCACGGCCAUCUCCCCUGGGUGCUGCCACCACUCUGGUUGGGACACUCCCGACACCGCCACCCCUGGCACAGCCACCACCCCUGAUGCUGUCACCACCCCUAGCACGGCCACCUCGCCCUGGUAUGGUCACCACCCCUGGCUGGGACACCCCUGGCACCGCCACCACUCCUGGCACUGUCACCCCUGGUGCUGUCACCACCCCUGGCACAGCCACCUCGCCCUGGUAUGGUCACCGCCCCCGGCUGGGACACCCCUGGCACGGCCACCUUGCCUGGGCACAGCCACCAUUCCUGGCACUGUCACCCCUGGCGUUUUCACCACCCCCAGCACGGCCACCUCGCCCUGGCACUGUCACUACCCCUGGCUGGGACACCCCUGACACAGCCACCUCGCCUGGGCACGGCCACCACUCCUGGCACUGUCACCUCUGGCACAGCUACCUCCUCUGGGCACUGCCACCACCCCGGCACUCAUCCAUGGCACUGUCACCCCCGGCACAACCACCUUGCCUGGUCCCAGCCACCCCCUGCACUGCCAUUCCUGACACUGUCACCACCCCUGGAGCUGUCACCACUCCUGGCAUGGCCACCUCACCCAGGCACAGCCACCGCCCCGGCACUGCCACCCUUGGAGCUGUCACCACCCCCGGCACUGCCAUUCCUGACACUGUCACCACCCCUGGAGCUGUCACCACCCCUGGAGCUGUCACCACUCCUGGCAUGGCCACCUCACCCAGGCACAGCCACCGCCCCGGCACUGCCGCCCCUGGAGCUGUCACCACCCCUGGCAUGGCCACCACCCCUGGAGCUGUCACCACCCCCGGCACGGCCACCCCUGGCUGGGACACCCCAGGCCAGCUACGUCCCCCAGGCACUGCCACCCCUGGCA
rnacentral:lncRNA from 1 species